UGAGGAAUAUUGGACAAUGGGCGAAAGCCUGAUCCAGCCAUGCCGCGUGAAGGAUGAAUGCCCUAUGGGUUGUAAACUUCUUUUAUACAGGAAGAAACCUUUGGAUUUAUCCAGAGCUGACAUUACUGUAAGAAUAAGGACCGGCUAACUCCGUGCCAGCAGCCGCGGUAAUACGGAGGGUCCGAGCGUUAUCCGGAAUUAUUGGGUUUAAAGGGUCCGUAGGCGGAUGAUUAAGUCAGGGGUGAAAGUUUGCAGCUCAACUGUAAAAUUGCCUUUGAUACUGGUUAUCUUGAGUUGUAUUGAAGUAGGCGGAAUAUGUAGUGUAGCGGUGAAAUGCAUAGAUAUUACAUAGAACACCAAUUGCGAAGGCAGCUUACUAAGUACUAACUGACGCUGAUGGACGAAAGCGUGGGUAGCGAACAGGAUUAGAUACCCUGGUAGUCCACGCCGUAAACGAUGGAUACUAGCUGUUCGGGACCUUGAGUUCUGAGCGGCUAAGCGAAAGUGAUAAGUAUCCCACCUGGGGAGUACGUUCGCAAGAAUGAAACUCAAAGGAAUUGACGGGGGCCCGCACAAGCGGUGGAGCAUGUGGCUUAAUUCGAUGAUACGCGAGGAACCUUACC
rnacentral:rRNA from 1 species